rnacentral:misc_RNA from 1 species
AAGUUAUAAUAAGGUUUCUAUAGGUAAACCUAUAGAAGAAUUAUUACUUUUCUAGCUAUUUAAUAGCUUAUCUAGAAGCUAUAGUUUCUGUAGUUCUUAACUAUAUCUAUGUUUUUUACGUACUAUAUAUUUUCUUAGCAGGCUUACUUACUAGUUAGACAAACUAAAACUUUUUGUAAUUAUAAUUAGCGUCUAAAUUAUAUAAUAAUUA